rnacentral:rRNA from 1 species
AGCGAACGCUGGCGGCAGGCCUAACACAUGCAAGCCGAACGAAGCCUUCGGGCUUAGUGGCGGACGGGUGAGUAACACGUGGGAACGUACCUUUUGGUUCGGAACAACUCAGGGAAACUUGAGCUAAUACCGGAUGAGCCCUUAGGGGGAAAGAUUUAUCGCCGAAAGAGCGGCCCGCGUUAGAUUAGCUAGUUGGUGAGGUAAAGGCUCACCAAGGCAACGAUCUAUAGCUGGUCUGAGAGGAUGAUCAGCCACACUGGGACUGAGACACGGACCAGACUCCUACGGGAGGCAGCAGUGGUGAAUCUUGCGCAAUGGGCGAAAGCCUGUCGCAUCCAUGCCGCGUGAAUGAUGAAGAUCUUAGGAUUGUAAAAUUCUUUUACCAGGUACGAUAAUGACGGUACCUGGAGAAAAAGCCCCGGCUAACUUCGUGCCAGCCGCCGCAGUAA